AACGUAGACAUUGUCGGCACUGGUCAGAGUGUACUAUCUGUUCUAAUCAGUUUAAUAUCUGAAACGGGUUGUAUUUGGAAGAACGAUAAACUUAGUUUUGCAAGUUGGUGGAGUGCUUAAGAUCUGCUUCACAUCCGCCGCGAGUCGGUCUUGUAUUGCACAAUCUUCGUGAUUGGCCCAUCUAUG